rnacentral:tRNA from 1 species
UCCCCCAUAGCUCUAAAGGCAGAGCGGCCGGCUGUUAACCGGAAGGUUCUUGGUUCGAGUCCAGGUGGGGGAG